CCAGCCACCAUGCCGCUUCCUUCUAUUGCUUCCUUUACACCAAUUUGAAUUUAUGCCGUCUUCAAAUAGACGAUGGUUCCUUGAAUAUUCCGAGUUUUUAUCGAGUUUUCUUUCCUCGCUUUUAUUUUGUGACUGGUCAAUAAAACCUUGAGCCUGGAGCUAGGAAACAACGUAUGGAGAUAGCAGCCAUUUCUGCUUCGAGCGCGCCAUUGACUUAAGACAAGAAACAGAAAUCCUCUCGCCAGAAAAAAACCGAGAUCCUGCUGCCAAGUCCACCGCCGCACGCCUGUUCGAUGAAUGCCAGUAGUUGACUUGGUGGUAGCGGGAAUAAAGAAGAAAUGAGUGCGUCGUGCUUUGCUGAAAUAUGAAGUGACUUCGACUGCCACAUGACUGCGUGGGAUGCCGCAGAUAAG
rnacentral:lncRNA from 1 species